CCCUAGUCAGUUGGUAGAGCAUGGUGUUUACAACGCCAGGGUUGUGGGUUCGAUUCCCACGGG
rnacentral:tRNA from 1 species